ACCAACCCACCUUCGGGUGGUCCCCAGGUGAUUCAUAGUAACCGAACGGAUCGCAUUAUGACCUUUUGGUCGGCGAUGGAUCAUUCAAGUUUCUGACCUAUCAGCUUUCGACGGUACUGUAUUGGACUACCGUGGCAGUGACGGGUAACGGGGAAUUAGGGUUCGAUUCCGGAGAGGGAGCCUGAGAAACGGCUACCACAUCUAAGGAAGGCAGCAGGCGCGCAAAUUACCCAAUCCUGACUCAGGGAGGUAGUGACAAGAAAUAACAACACUGGAAAUUAUAUUUCUAGUGAUUGGAAUGAUGGGAAUCCAAACCCCUUUCAGAGUAACAAUUGGAGGGCAAGUCUGGUGCCAGCAGCCGCGGUAAUUCCAGCUCCAAUAGCGUAUAUUAAAGUUGUUGCAGUUAAAAAGCUCGUAGUUGGAUAUCUGCUGGAAGCAGCCAGUCCGCCCUUUGUGGGUGUGCACUUGGUGAAUUCUGGCAUCCUCCUGAUUGGUGUCAUCAUCACUUCAUUGUGUUGGUGGCAGCUGUCAGGACCGUUACUUUGAGAAAAUUAGAGUGUUUCAAGCAGGCUUGUUGCCUUGAAUACUGCAGCAUGGAAUAACAAGAUAGGAUUUCGGUUCUAUUUUGUUGGUUUCUAGGACUGAAGUAAUGAUUAAUAGGGACAGUUGGGGGCAUUCGUAUUUAACUGUC
rnacentral:rRNA from 1 species